rnacentral:rRNA from 1 species
CAGUAGCCGCGGUAAUACAGAGGGUGCGAGCGUUAAUCGGAUUUACUGGGCGUAAAGCGUGCGUAGGCGGCUAAUUGAGUCGGAUGUGAAAUCCCCGAGCUUAACUUGGGAAUUGCAUUCGAUACUGGUUAGCUAGAGUGUGGGAGAGGAUGGUAUAAUUCCAGGUGUAGCGGUGAAAUGCGUAGAGAUCUGGAGGAAUACCGAUGGCGAAGGCAGCCAUCUGGCCUAACACUGACGCUGAGGUACGAAAGCAUGGGGAGCAAACAGGAUUAGAUACCCGAGUAGUCCCUGUCUCUUAUAC